AUUUGCUACUAGGGGAGCCAAAAGGCUGAGAUGAAUGUAUUCAGACCCUUAUAACCUGAUUUGGUUAAUACCAACGUAGGAAAGUAGUUAUUAACUAUU
rnacentral:ncRNA from 17 species